rnacentral:tRNA from 1 species
AAAAAGAUAAGCUAAUUUAAAGCUAACGGGCUCAUACCCCGUCUAUGUGUGUCUACUCACACUCUUUUUA